rnacentral:rRNA from 1 species
AACGAACGCUGGCGGCAUGCCUAACACAUGCAAGUCGAACGCCUGCAGCAAUGCAGGAGUGGCAGACGGGUGAGUAACACGUGGGAAUCUACCCAGUAGCUCGGAAUAACCGCGGGAAACUGCGGCUAAUACCGGAUAAGCCCCGAUGGGGAAAGGAGCAAUCCACUAUUGGAGGAGCCCGCGUCUGAUUAGCUAGUUGGUGGGGUAAUGGCCUACCAAGGCGAUGAUCAGUAGCUGGUUUGAGAGAACGACCAGCCACACUGGGACUGAGACACGGCCCAGACUCCUACGGGAGGCAGCAGUGGGGAAUAUUGGGCAAUGGGGGAAACCCUGAUCCAGCAAUGCCGCGUGGGUGAUGAAGGCCUUCGGGUUGUAAAGCCCUUUUGUCGGGGACGAUGAUGACGGUACCCGGCGAAUAAGCCCCGGCUAACUUCGUGCCAGCCGCCGCAGUAA